rnacentral:lncRNA from 1 species
GGUGGAAAGACCAUCAAUGGUUCUCUGAACAAUUGGUUUUUAAUUAUUAUUAUUAUUCUUUUUCCGCCAAACUUUGACGAAGUUAGCCUCCGUAACCGUAAGACGUGUCGCUUUCAUAUUCACACUUUGUAUUCGUGUCAUGAAUACCUAUCCGGAACUCACCCUGUUAGUCGAAAAAUUUUGUCGGUUCGGAGUUAUCCCUCCGAAACCAAAAAACCUUGUUAUCGUUCCAACACCGUAACCGUGAAAGGUAGAGAAAAAACAAAGGGUGAAAUUUGUUCAGGACCAGACCCCGGUUCUUCGUUACAUUUGGAUCGAGAAGAUUCAACGACUCAUUG